CUCACAACUUUCAUGUUUCAACAGCUCUUGCUGUCUUUGCAGGUUUGACUUUAUCUGGUCUCUCCUGAUAACAAAGGAAUUCCUCAUCUAUCGAAGUCUUCCAUCUACAGAGAACUCCAAUGCAGUGCAUCACUGGCUGUCCCCUUCUCCUCCUCCUCCAGACUCAAGAGAACUUGAAGUCAGGUGCGGAAGAUCAGGCAUAUUCUGGAGUCCUCUGUCUGCCUCUGUG